rnacentral:rRNA from 1 species
UGGGGAAUAUUGGACAAUGGGGGCAACCCUGAUCCAGCGAUGCCGCGUGUGUGAAGAAGGCCUUCGGGUUGUAAAGCACUUUAGGCGGGGACGAAGGCUUACGUUUGAAUAGGGCGUAAGAUUGACGGUACCCGCAGAAUAAGCACCGGCUAACUCUGUGCCAGCAGCCGCGGUAAUACAGAGGGUGCGAGCGUUAAUCGGAGUAACUGGGCGUAAAGGGCGCGUAGGCGGUUUUGUAAGUGAGAUGUGAAAGGCCUGGGCUUAACCUAGGAACUGCAUCUUAGACUAUGAAACUGGAGUGCAGUAGAGGGUGGCGGAAUUUCCGGUGUAGCGGUGAAAUGCGUAGAGAUCGGAAGGAACACCAGUGGCGAAGGCGGCCACCUGGACUGUCACUGACGCUGAGGCGCGAGAGCGUGGGUAGCAAACAGGAUUAGAUACCCCCGUAGUCC